UUAAGCGACUAAGCGUACACGGUGGAUGCCCUGGCAGUCAGAGGCGAUGAAGGACGUGCUAAUCUGCGAAAAGCGUCGGUAAGGUGAUAUGAACCGUUAUAACCGGCGAUGUCCGAAUGGGGAAACCCAGUGUGAUUCGUCACACUAUCGUUAACUGAAUACAUAGGUUAACGAGGCGAACCGGGGGAACUGAAACAUCUAAGUACCCCGAGGAAAAGAAAUCAACCGAGAUUCCCCCAGUAGCGGCGAGCGAACGGGGAGCAGCCCAGAGUCUGAAUCAGCUUGUGUGUUAGUGGAACGGUCUGGAAAGUCCGACGGUACAGGGUGAUAGUCCCGUACACCAAAAUGCACAGGCUGUGAACUCGAAGAGUAGGGCGGGACACGUGGUAUCCUGUCUGAAUAUGGGGGGACCAUCCUCCAAGGCUAAAUACUCCUGACUGACCGAUAGUGAACCAGUACCGUGAGGGAAAGGCGAAAAGAACCCCGGCGAGGGGAGUGAAAAAGAACCUGAAACCGUGUACGUACAAGCAGUGGGAGCACCUUCGGGUGUGACUGCGUACCUUUUGUAUAAUGGGUCAGCGACUUAUAUUCUGUAGCAAGGUUAACCGUAUAGGGGAGCCGCAGGGAAACCGAGUCUUAACUGGGCGUUAAGUUGCAGGGUAUAGACCCGAAACCCGGUGAUCUAGCCAUGGGCAGGUUGAAGGUUGGGUAACACUAACUGGAGGACCGAACCGACUAAUGUUGAAAAAUUAGCGGAUGACUUGUGGCUGGGGGUGAAAGGCCAAUCAAACCGGGAGAUAGCUGGUUCUCCCCGAAAGCUAUUUAGGUAGCGCCUCGUGAACUCAUCUUCGGGGGUAGAGCACUGUUUCGGCUAGGGGGUCAUCCCGACUUACCAACCCGAUGCAAACUACGAAUACCGAAGAAUGUUAUCACGGGAGACACACGGCGGGUGCUAACGUCCGUCGUGAAGAGGGAAACAACCCAGACCGCCAGCUAAGGUCCCAAAGUCAUGGUUAAGUGGGAAACGAUGUGGGAAGGCACAGACAGCCAGGAUGUUGGCUUAGAAGCAGCCAUCAUUUAAAGAAAGCGUAAUAGCUCACUGGUCGAGUCGGCCUGCGCGGAAGAUGUAACGGGGCUAAACCAUGCACCGAAGCUGCGGCAGCGACACUAUGUGUUGUUGGGUAGGGGAGCGUUCUGUAAGCCUGCGAAGGUGACCUGUGAGGGUUGCUGGAGGUAUCAGAAGUGCGAAUGCUGACAUAAGUAACGAUAAAGCGGGUGAAAAGCCCGCUCGCCGGAAGACCAAGGGUUCCUGUCCAACGUUAAUCGGGGCAGGGUGAGUCGACCCCUAAGGCGAGGCCGAAAGGCGUAGUCGAUGGGAAACAGGUUAAUAUUCCUGUACUUGGUGUUACUGCGAAGGGGGGACGGAGAAGGCUAUGUUAGCCGGGCGACGGUUGUCCCGGUUUAAGCAUGUAGGCUGGUUGUCCAGGCAAAUCCGGAUAAUCAAGGCUGAGGUGUGAUGACGAGGCACUACGGUGCUGAAGUAACAAAUGCCCUGCUUCCAGGAAAAGCCUCUAAGCAUCAGGUAACAUCAAAUCGUACCCCAAACCGACACAGGUGGUCAGGUAGAGAAUACCAAGGCGCUUGAGAGAACUCGGGUGAAGGAACUAGGCAAAAUGGUGCCGUAACUUCGGGAGAAGGCACGCUGGUGUGUAGGUGAAGUCCCUGCGGAUGGAGCUGAGACCAGUCGAAGAUACCAGCUGGCUGCAACUGUUUAUUAAAAACACAGCACUGUGCAAACACGAAAGUGGACGUAUACGGUGUGACGCCUGCCCGGUGCCGGAAGGUUAAUUGAUGGGGUUAUCCGUAAGGAGAAGCUCUUGAUCGAAGCCCCGGUAAACGGCGGCCGUAACUAUAACGGUCCUAAGGUAGCGAAAUUCCUUGUCGGGUAAGUUCCGACCUGCACGAAUGGCGUAAUGAUGGCCAGGCUGUCUCCACCCGAGACUCAGUGAAAUUGAACUCGCUGUGAAGAUGCAGUGUACCCGCGGCAAGACGGAAAGACCCCGUGAACCUUUACUAUAGCUUGACACUGAACAUUGAGCCUUGAUGUGUAGGAUAGGUGGGAGGCUUUGAAGCGUGGACGCCAGUCUGCGUGGAGCCAACCUUGAAAUACCACCCUUUAAUGUUUGAUGUUCUAACGUUGGCCCCUUACCGGGGUUGCGGACAGUGUCUGGUGGGUAGUUUGACUGGGGCGGUCUCCUCCCAAAGCGUAACGGAGGAGCACGAAGGUUAGCUAAUCCUGGUCGGACAUCAGGAGGUUAGUGCAAUGGCAUAAGCUAGCUUGACUGCGAGCGUGACGGCGCGAGCAGGUGCGAAAGCAGGUCAUAGUGAUCCGGUGGUUCUGAAUGGAAGGGCCAUCGCUCAACGGAUAAAAGGUACUCCGGGGAUAACAGGCUGAUACCGCCCAAGAGUUCAUAUCGACGGCGGUGUUUGGCACCUCGAUGUCGGCUCAUCACAUCCUGGGGCUGAAGUAGGUCCCAAGGGUAUGGCUGUUCGCCAUUUAAAGUGGUACGCGAGCUGGGUUUAGAACGUCGUGAGACAGUUCGGUCCCUAUCUGCCGUGGGCGCUGGAGAAUUGAGGGGGGCUGCUCCUAGUACGAGAGGACCGGAGUGGACGCAUCACUGGUGUUCGGGUUGUCAUGCCAAUGGCACUGCCCGGUAGCUAAAUGCGGAAGAGAUAAGUGCUGAAAGCAUCUAAGCACGAAACUUGCCCCGAGAUGAGUUCUCCCUGAGACUUUAAGUCUCCUGAAGGAACGUUAAAGACGAUGACGUUGAUAGGCCGGGUGUGUAAGCGCAGCGAUGCGUUGAGCUAACCGGUACUAAUGAACCGUGAGGCUUAACCUU
rnacentral:rRNA from 1 species